rnacentral:rRNA from 1 species
CAUGCAAGUCGAGGGCAGCAUAGAGUAGCAAUACUUUGAUGGCGACCGGCGCACGGGUGAGUAACACGUAUGCAACCUACCUACAUCAGGGGAAUAACCCGGAGAAAUUCGGACUAAUACCGCAUAAUACAGGGAUGCCGCAUGGCAAUAUUUGUUAAAGAUUUAUCGGAUGUAGAUGGGCAUGCGUUCCAUUAGCUAGUUGGUGAGGUAACGGCUCACCAAGGCAACGAUGGAUAGGGGAACUGAGAGGUUUGUCCCCCACACUGGAACUGAGACACGGACCAGACUCCUACGGGAGGCAGCAGUGAGGAAUAUUGGUCAAUGGACGAGAGUCUGAACCAGGCCAAAUCGCGUGAAGGAAGAACCUGCCCUACGGGUUGUAAACUUCUUUUGUACAGGAAUAAAAGACAUUACGUGUAAUGUAUUGCAUGUACUGUACGAAUAAGCAUCGGCUAACUCCGUGCCAGCAGCUGC